AUGGCAGCCACGCCGGCGUCGCCACAGGUGCACAUCGAGUCCGUGCAGACGGGCUUGCCGACUCGCGUCGUCGAGCCCGACAGGACGCGCGUCAUAGCCGUGGCCGCGCCGCCGCUCCCGGCGACCGCGCUGCAGCGGCGCCUCCGCGCGGUCUUCUACUACCGCGGCGACGACGCGCCGCUGGAGGAAGGUAUAUUGGUAAAGGAGUCCCUGGGCGAGGUGCUGUGCUUCUUCCCGGAGAUGGCGGGCAGGCUCCGGCGGCACGCCGACGGGUCGUGGGAGGUGAAGCUGAACGACGCCGGAGUGAGGUUCCAGCAGGCGACGGUGGAGGUGACCAUGGAGGACUUCCUGGCGGACAAGGAGCGCGCGCGUAAGGAGGCCGCGCUGGCGCCGUGGGUCGACGUGAGCGCGGAGGAUCCUGACAUGUGCUCGCUCCUCUUCAUGCAGCUGAACCGGUUCCAGGGCGGUGGGUACGCCAUCGGCGUCAGCUGCACGGUGCUGCUGUCCGACCCGCUGUCGCUGGCGAGGUUCCUCCGGGCGUGGGCGCGCACGCACGCCGAGAUGAAGGAGCAGGGCAAGGUCGCCCCCACGCCCAUGAUGCAGUACAUGGCCUACUUCCAGCGCCCGGAGAUCUGCUGCAAGCGCAUCCGGUCCUUCCCCGUCCACUCCGUCGCCGCCGACGGCAUCCACGCCCAGACCGUGCUCUUCAGGGCCGCGGCCGGCGACCCCCGCGCGCUCGCGGCGGCCUGCAUCGACCGGGCGAGCGAGGAGCUCGGCGCGGACAGGCCGUCGCGCUUCACGCUCGUCGUCGCCCCCGGAGACCCCGCCCGCGGGGCGACGACCGUCGAGACGUCGGUCACGGCGGACGGCCUGAAGAAGGGCGGCGCCGGCCACGCGCUGGAAGCUGCGGAGUGGGGCGAGCUGGGGCUCGAGGAGCUGACCAUCAGGGACGUCAAGCCCGUGCAUGUGUCGUACAGGAUCGUGUCGGGCGGAGACGAAGGGCUCGUCGUCGUCAUGCCCGACGGCGAUGGUUUCCUCAUCACGGCCACUGUUCCGAAGUAG
rnacentral:rRNA from 1 species